GAUGAAGAACGCAGCGAAAUGCGAUACGUAAUGUGAAUUGCAGAAUUCAGUGAAUCAUCGAGUCUUUGAACGCACAUUGCGCCCCCUGGUAUUCCGGGGGGCAUGCCUGUCCGAGCGUCAUUGCUGCCCUCAAGCACGGCUUGUGUGUUGGGCCUCCGUCCUCCUCCCGGGGGACGGGCCCGAAAGGCAGCGGCGGCACCGCGUCCGGUCCUCGAGCGUAUGGGGCUUCGUCACCCGCUCUUGUAGGCCCGGCCGGCGCUUGCCGAACGCAAAACAACCAUUUUUUCCAGGUUGACCUCGGAUCAGGUAGGGAUACCCGCUGAACUUAAGCAUAUCAAUAAGCGGAGGA
rnacentral:misc_RNA from 1 species